AAAAAUAACGAAACUCUAAUAACUACUAGGAGACGGACCUCGCAGGUAGGUGAAUAGAAUUCUUUUUAUUUUUUGGUUUUCCCCGGUGUUGGGUACCCAUAUACUAUUAGUUGUGAAAAGAAGCACCUGCGGAUUGGGAACUGCAGGUACGAGACCGCAGAUGCGGAUUUGGUCGCAGGAGCGAAGGGUAUGACCGCACCUGUGAUCCCCCAGAGGCUUGGGGCGCAGGUGCGGGAGCUGGCGUUUAAGUGACUUUUCGCAUGUGCGCACCUCGGACCGCAGGUGCGAGUUCGCAUGUGCGUGUAAUUAUCCAUAGAUGCAAAAAGGGCUGGGCAAAAACUAUAAAAGCUUCCCUUCGCGAUUUUCAGUCUUAUUUCACCAUUUGUGUUCGAACUUGGAUCUUUUUUAGAGGAAUUGAAGAGGGAUUCGAGGGGUAAUACUUGGAGAUUCGGAGCAUUUGGAGGCCGAUUCGAGGAGCAAAGGCAUCGCGAAGUAGGAUUUUUGGCUUGAUUGAGAUCCAGGUACCUUUGGUCCCAGUUGCAGUCGUUGAUCGAGAUCGCAGGCUGCAGAGUUGUUAAGGUAUCUGCAUGGCGUUCGCAGACCUUGGUUCUCCUUCUCAUUUCCAGUUGUAUUUCUGUUGGUUCUUGGACAUAUUAGUAGACUAUGUAUUUACCUUAGACGCUCAUGAUCUCAGUGACACCGUGGUUUUGGGACGACUGUAUUGUAAUAUAAAUCUUUUUUUUAUGUCUUAAACGAUUUGUUUCAAAAAUGAUGAAUGUUUUCCGCAAAUGGUUUUCAAUAUUUACACUGUCGAAUAGGAUUGCGUUGGUUUGAGGCUGGCCUAGUUCCAUGAUAGGCGCCAUCACGAUGGGUUGAGUUUUGGGUCAUGACAGUUUGACUUGUAUAAAGGAAAAUUAAUAAAGUUUUUUGUUGGACAUUGCUUACACUAUUAGAUUAUAAGGAAG